UACGGAAGGCAGCAGUGGGGAAUAUUGCACAAUGGGCGAAAGCCUGAUGCAGCUAUGCCGCGUGUAUGAAGAAGGCCUUAGGGUUGUAAAGUACUUUCAUCGGGGAGGAAAAACAAAACUAAUAAUUUUAUUUCUUGACGUUACCCGAAAAAGAAGCACCGGCUAACUCCGUGCCAGUAGCCGCGGUAAUACGGAGGGUGCUAGCGUUAAUCAGAAUUACUGGGCGUAAAGAGCACGUAGGUGGUUUUUUUAAGUCAGAUGUGAAAUCCCUGGGCUUAACCUAGGAACUGCAUUUUGAAACUGAAAUACUAGAGUAUCGUAGAGGGAGGUAGAAUUCUAGGUGUAGCGGUGAAAUGCGUAGAUAUCUGGAGGAAUACCUGUGGCGAAAGCGGCCUCCUAAACGAAUACUGACACUGAGGUGCGAAAGCGUGGGGAGCAAACAGGGAUUA
rnacentral:rRNA from 1 species